CGAUCUGAUCUGAUGGAACCGUGUCUGAAACACUUUGGUCUCUUUUCUCCCGUGUGUCUCUGUAAUCAUUCUUUUAUUCAUUUCCCUGAGAGAGAGAGAGUAGACGAUGAUGGAGGAGCAGUGUUUAGACUAUGUGCUUGUACCUAUGGGCAUGUUGGUGCUGGGAAUAUACCACUCUUGGCUUCUUUUCACCAUUCACAAAUAUCCUCGCCGCACUGUCAUUGGCAUCAAUGCUGAUUCCCGCCAUCAAUGGGUUCAUGCAAUUAUGACUGAUCCCCUGAAGAAUGGUGUGUUGGCAGUUCAAACAAUGCGUAACAACAUAAUGGCAUCGACGCUUUUAGCAACAACAGCAAUCACUCUCAGCUCAUUGAUCAGUGUGUUUGUGAGCAGCACAUCAAACUCUGGCAACACAGCCUCACAAAUAUUAUAUGGAAAUAAGAGCUCCAUUGUUUCUUCAAUAAAGUAUUUCUCUAUUCUGCUGUGCUUCCUCGUUGCCUUUCUUUGCAAUGUGCAGUCAAUUAGAUACUAUGCUCAUGUUAGCUUCCUGGCUACUGUACCUACAUCAGUAGGCAAAAAGGAUUCCAUUGAGUAUGUUGCCAGAAACUUGAAUCGAGAAGUUUCUUCUGGUCCCUCGGAUUGCGAGCUUUCUAUCUAUCGUUCCCUCUAUUUCUAUGGAUCUUCGGGCCAAUGCCCAUGUUUGUGUGCUGCUGCACGAUGUCAUUGGUUCUUUAUUUCUUGGAUACGACUACUAGUUUUACCCGGCAUCUGCACAAUCACUCUUUCAGAGAGGAAAUGAAAACUGAUGAUGUAGAAUCAGCUGUUUGAUCUUCCUAAGUGCCAUUAAGGAUAGAAUUUACUGAGAGUGGCUGUAAGUGCUCUGAACAAACAUCUUAAUGUCUGCUUAAACUCCGAUUAGCAACUUGUAUAUAUAUAUAUAUAUAUCAUUAGGUUUCUUAGUAUACAUACAUUGUCUUCAAAUAGCCUAUUAACAGUAUCAAGUUGUGUUCAAAUGUGCAUGUUCAAAUUAUUAAGUUGGAAAUUUGUUGAUAUUAUAUGAACGCAGACACUGGUGCUUGUAGUUGGUGGAUUGUAACAAAACAAUUUUGAAUUUUGGCCUGUAAGUUUUAUUAGCAAUUCUAGCUGA